GAUGAACGCUGGCGGUAUGCCUUACACAUGCAAGUCGUACGAGAGUUUUUAACUCUAGUGGCGGACGGGUGAGUAACACGUAAGAAUUUGCCUUUAGGAGGGGGACAACAACUGGAAACGGUUGCUAAUACCCCAUAUGCUUUCGAGUGAAAUGGAUUUAUUUCCGCCUAGAGAGAAGCUUGCGGCUGAUUAGCUUGUUGGUGAGGUAAUGGCUCACCAAGGCGACGAUCAGUAUCUGGUUUGAGAGGAUGAUCAGACACACUGGAACUGAGACACGGUCCAGACUCCUACGGGAGGCAGCAGUGGGGAAUUUUCCGCAAUGGGCGAAAGCCUGACGGAGCAAUACCGCGUGAGGGAUGACGGCCUAUGGGUUGUAAACCUCUUUUUUCAGGGA
rnacentral:rRNA from 1 species